AUAUUCUGAUUAUAAAAGGAAUGCAUACUCACUGAAGAACAUUUAGGAAAAAAUAGAAUCAUAAAAAGAAUACAUUCAACAAAUUUGGAUUUUCCUAUGAAGAGAAGCAUGGAGGGAGCUCAUGGAUAAGUGGAUAGGAGCCGGGGCUCCGAAAUCACACCUUUUCAACUGGCCAGGCUUCCGUUACUCAGCCAGUGGGGGUGAUGCCAGUGCCCGUCUCCUGCGAGGCCCCUGAGUGUGAUGGGUGAAGGAAUGCAAGUACCACACUUAGCUCAGCUUAGCCUAGGCUUUGGCACGUGAAGUGCUCGGUAAGCAGUAGAUCCUCUCAUUCACCGUCUCCUCCUGCAUUAGUUUCCCACUGAUCCUAUAAUAAAUUACCACAAACAAAUGCCACAUCCCACAGUCCUGUGGUUAGAAACUCAGCAUGGGUUUCCCUGGGCUAAAAUCAAGGGGUCAGUGCAGCGGGUUUCUUCUGGAGGCUCUAGGGUAAAAUUUGUCCCCUUACCGUUUCCAGCUUCUAGAGGCUGCCUGCCGUCUGUGGCUCCUGGACUUUUUUUACAUCUCCAGAACCAGCAACGGCAGGUCCAGCCCUCCUCCCAUCACAGCUCAUCUCUCCAACCUACUCGUCUGCCUCACUCUUCCAAUUUUGUGGACCCUGUGAUCACAGUGGCCCACCUGGACCAUCCAGGAAAAUCUCCCGACUUGAAGAUCUUUUCGAAGGGGCCUGAAAGGUAGCUCCUUGCACAGCAGGACUGGUUUAUUCGCCUGGAGUAUCCCUCUGAUCCAGCAAGCGUGCAUCCAACAACCCCAGGCUUUGGUCCGGCCUCCUCACACAGGGCUCCUGAGCCUGUGGGCCUCUCCUGCCCCAUGAGCCUUGCUACAAGGAGCUAUGCAUGUGGCUGCCUCACUCUAGGGCACUGGAAAGGAAUGGAGAAAAGAGGGGGUUGCCAAGGAGGGUGCAAGGAAAAUUGUCCACUGAAUUUUGCCACCUACAGAAAAGGCAAGGACUGUACUAUGAUUCUCAUAGUCAGAAGAGUUAUGAUGCACUGCUGAAGGAUAGACGGGCAUUGAGUUCAGAAAACAAAAAGUUGUAUAUGACUGACUGGAUCAAGAACAGAGACCGUCAUGAGUGGGCAGUGGUGCUUUCCACAGAAGGAAGAUGGUCUAAGCAAAGAGGAGACAAACACAAAGCAAAUAUGAGGUCACCUGGCUCCUCAAGGUUUCUUCUUGGGCCAGCCUCACCUGCAACUCUGUGGGUGACCUCCAUCUGCUUGCAUGGCUUCAGUCUGCCAUCUUCCAAAAGGACAGCUCUUGGCUUUCAGACCCAAUUGACCACUGAUAUUUCUGCCUUCUGGUCCCAGGUGAGUUAAAAUCCUGUUCCCAUCUCUUGGCUGCUGUGUGACCAAGUGAGUGAUGGAUCUUUUCAUAGUCAAUCAAACCCGAACUCAAUGCUUUCUCUUCCACUAUAAACCUUGUCCUACUGUAGUCAGUGGAUAUACCUCCUUUUGGCCAUUUGUCCCUGCCAGAAAUCCUGGCGAUGACCUCUGAUGUCAUUCUCUUUUCCCGCCCCCACAUACCAAGUCUGUGUUUCUAACUUCUAAAUACUUCCCCAAACAUGCCCAUCCUCUAUUUCCAUUGCUAUUAUCUUAAUUCUUGCCAUCAUUAGUGCUUCACUGAGGUUAUGGAAAUAGCUUCCAAAUUGAGGUCUCAUCCCUGAGUUGAACCUUGCCCCUUUUAUUGCACACUCACUGAGGCAGCCAGAGUGGUCGUUUACGAAUACAAAUCUGGUCAGGAGGCACUGGCCUGUUGGAGGCAAUUUGGUUGUUCCUGAACCUCUUGACAGGAAGUUUCCGAGAGAACCUACACUGCCCUGCAGUCUUCAGCCUCUCCCCUCGGAACUCCAGGACCCUGGACACACACUCCAGACAAAUCAAAUAUUUUUACAUCUCAAAGAGGGCCUGAUUUCUCUCAUUUUCUCUCUAUACAUGAUUUUCCCUUUGCCUGAAAUAUUCUUUCCUCUACUGGUGUAGCUAAUUCCUGUUCAUUUUCUUCUUCUCAUCUUAGAUUUCCGUUUCUUCAAGACUUCUGAUUCUUUCAGCCUAGAUUAGCUAGCUGCUCCUUUUAUCUGUUCGCCCAGCUGUUACUCAUAUAGAGGUAGAAUGGCCAAAAUCUGGGGUAUCGAAAGAAAUGUAACAC
ensembl:lncRNA